AAAUUGAAGAGUUUGAUCAUGGCUCAGAUUGAACGCUGGCGGCAGGCCUAACACAUGCAAGUCGAACGGUAACAGGAAACAGCUUGCUGUUUCGCUGACGAGUGGCGGACGGGUGAGUAAUGUCUGGGAAACUGCCUGAUGGAGGGGGAUAACUACUGGAAACGGUAGCUAAUACCGCAUAACGUCGCAAGACCAAAGAGGGGGACCCUCGGGCCUCUUGCCAUCGGAUGUGCCCAGAUGGGAUUAGCUUGUUGGUGGGGUAACGGCUCACCAAGGCGACGAUCCCUAGCUGGUCUGAGAGGAUGACCAGCCACACUGGAACUGAGACACGGUCCAGACUCCUACGGGAGGCAGCAGUGGGGAA
rnacentral:rRNA from 1 species